CUCUGCUAAUUCAUCAGUUGAAGCCAAGAUAUCCUUCUGAUGCAUUAUCAGCUUUGUCACAGGAGAGGUUCCAACUGGCCUUGCAUUCAUAAAGAAGAGAUAUGCAGUGAGAAACAUUUUUACACUCGCACUGGAAAUAAUCUUGAACAAGUUAAAGAAAUCGUCCAAGAACAACCAAUGGUUAUAAAGGUUCUGGAGAAGCGGCCUACACACUUUUUCGAAGAACUGAUCUGUGAGGAAUUUUUCUGCAUCACCAACAAAGACCUCCUGGGAAUCUUCAGAGCAGCCUCCAUGGCUCAAGUACACACCUAAACUUCUGAAAUUGUACUGUGACAGAAAAGGAACUUUUGGGAAGGAC